rnacentral:rRNA from 1 species
CGGUCUAAUUAGUCUUCUGUUAAAUUCUUCGGCUCAACCGGGGACAUGCAGGGGAAACGGUCAGACUUGAGGAUGCGAGAGGUUAACGGAACUCAUAGUGUAGCGGUGAAAUGCGUUGAUAUUAUGGGGAACACCAAAUGCGAAGGCAGUUAACUGGAGCACUCCUGACGCUGAAACACGAAAGCGUGGGUAGCGAAUGGGAUUAGAUACCCCAGUAGUCCACGCCCUAAACGAUCUUCUCUAGGUUUUCGGAGUAUCGACCCUCUGAGAGCCACAGCUAACGCGUUAAGAGAAGCGCCUGGGUAGUACGGCCGCAAGGCUAAAACUCAAAGGAAUAGACGGGGACUUGCACAAGCGGAGGAUCAUGUGGUUUAAUUCGAUGACAAACGAAGAACCUUACCAGGGUUAGAAAUCUAGUUGAAGACAUUAGGAAACUUUUGUCGUCCGCAAGGACAAUUAGACAGGUGAUGCAUGGCCGUCGUCAGUUCGUGGUUUGAAUUGUUCCCUUAAGUGGGGUAACGAACGCAACCCUCGUUGCCUGUUUUAAAUGUCAGGCGAGACUGCCCUCGAUA